GAGCUUGCUUUAUAUAACUUAGCAGCGAACGGGUGAGUAACACGUAGAUAAUCUAUCCUAUACUGGGGGAUAGCCCGAUGAAAGUUGGAUUAAUACCGCAUAUAGCUAUAUAGUUGCAUGAUUAUGUAGUGAAAGAUUUAUUGGUAUAGGAGGAGUCUGCGGCACAUUAGCUAGUAGGUGAGGUAAAGGCUUACCUAGGCGACGAUGUGUAGCCGGUCUGAGAGGAUGAACGGCCACAAUGGAACUGAGACACGGUCCAUACUCCUACGGGAGGCAGCAGUGGGGAAUAUUGCACAAUGGGGGAAACCCUGAUGCAGCAACGCCGCGUGAGUGAAGAAGGUUUUCGGAUUGUAAAGCUCUGUUAGCAGGGAAGAGGAAGGACGGUACCUGCAGAGGAAGCCACGGCUAACUACGUGCCAGCAGCCGCGGUAAUACGUAGGUGGCAAGCGUUGUUCGGAAUAACUGGGCGUAAAGGAUGCGUAGGCGGUUAAACAAGUUAUAUGUUAAAUAUAUAGGCUUAACCUGUAGAAAGCAUAUAAAACUGUUUAACUAGAGUGCAGGAGAGGUAAGUGGAAUUCCUAGUGUAGCGGUGAAAUGCGUAGAGAUUAGGAAGAACACCAGUGGCGAAGGCGACUUACUGGACUGUAACUGACGCUGAGGCAUGAGAGCAUGGGGAGCAAACAGGAUUAGAUACCCUGGUAGUCCAUGCUGUAAACGAUGGGUACUAGGUGUGGGUUGUGAAUAACAAUUCG
rnacentral:rRNA from 1 species